UGAACAUUGAUCAUAUCCAGAUUAUUUAAACAAGGAAAAACUAAUAUAUAAUACCCCAAAACCCUUCUAGCUUCAUUGCUAAUUGGCGCUGCGAAAAGAGCAUCUCCUACCAUAUUCCACGAUCUUUAAGUCACCAUAAGUUUCCGCAGCCUCGUCGCUGGAGAUGACAGGCUCUCUCACGGCCGCUGUGCCCCGUAGUAGUACUGAGCAAUCUCGUAGUUGCUGCAGGUGACGACUGGCAUCCUCACCGUUGAAAUUUGAGGUCCAUGAUAAACUAAUAGCUGUUGAUACUGACUGCUUUCAUGAUUAUUUUGUUGAAGCCUGCUACUCCCAGACCUACCGCUUGAGCUGCUUCGACCAUUGCACUCGUCUAUUAAAGUAAACCCUUCAUGUCCGAUCCUGGCAAGGCGAUCUAAUUGAGGAGUUACCAUUUUUCUAAAUCCUAGAGCACAGUAGACAGUAGUACUAUCUAUACAUCUGUGCAAGUUUCUUGUUCUUGCUACGUAGUGC
rnacentral:misc_RNA from 1 species